UCGGAAUGGCGGAAUUGGCAGACGCGCCAGGUCGAAGGGCUAGUGCCCAAUGCAAGGUGGAGGUUCAAGUCCUCUCUUCGACA
rnacentral:tRNA from 1 species